rnacentral:misc_RNA from 1 species
GAAAUGCGAUAAGUAGUGUGAAUUGCAGAAUUCAGUGAAUCAUCGAAUCUUUGAACGCACAUUGCGCCCGCCAGCACUCUGGCGGGCAUGCCUGUUCGAGCGUCAUUUCAACCCUCAGAACCCCUUGCGGGAUCUGGCGUUGGGGAUUGGCAUCCAGCCAGCCCCGAAAUCUAGUGGCGGUCCCUCCGCGACCUCCCCUGUGCAGUAGCGAUACCUCGCAGCGGGACAGCGGUCUGACCACGCCGUAAAACCCCCAACUUCUCAAGGUUGACCUCGAAUCAGGUAGGAAUACCCGCUGAACUUAAGC